rnacentral:rRNA from 1 species
UGGGGAUUACUGGACAAUGGGCGAAAGCCUGAUCCAGCCAUGCCGCGUGUGUGAAGAAGGUCUUCGGAUUGUAAAGCACUUUAAGUUGGGAGGAAGGGCAGUAAGCGAAUACCUUGCUGUUUUGACGUUACCGACAGAAUAAGCACCGGCUAACUCUGUGCCAGCAGCCGCGGUAAUACAGAGGGUGCAAGCGUUAAUCGGAAUUACUGGGCGUAAAGCGCGCGGAGGUGGUUCGUUAAGUUGAAUGUGAAAGCCCCGGGCUCAACCUUGGAACUGCAUCCAAAACUGGCGAGCUAGAGUAGGGCAGAGGGUGGUGGAAUUUCCUGUGUAGCGGUUAAAUGCGUAGAUAUCGGAAGGAACCCCAGUGGCGAAGGCGACCACCUGGGCUCAUACUGACACUGAGGUGCGAAAGCGUGGGGAGCAAACAGG